GUGUUCCUUCUGGCAGCACAUAUACUAAAAUUGGAAGAAUUCAUGGCUUUUGUGCAAGGAUGACACCCAAACUCAUAAAAUAUUCCCUAUUUUU
rnacentral:snRNA from 1 species